rnacentral:rRNA from 1 species
AUCCCUGAAAACCGGUCUCAGUUCGGAUCGCAGUCUGCAACUCGACUGCGUGAAGGUGGAGUCGCUAGUAAUCGCGGAUCAGCAACGCCGCGGUGAAUGCGUUCCCGGGCCUUGUACACACCGCCCGUCAAGUCAUGAAAGUGGGCAGCACCCGAAGACGGUGGCCUAACCCUUGUGGGGGGAGCCGUCUAAGGUGGGGCUCGUGAUUGGGACUAAGUCGUAACAAGGUAUC